rnacentral:rRNA from 1 species
GACGAACGCUGGCGGCGCGCCUAACACAUGCGAGUCGAACGGAGUCAAGAGGAGCUUGCUUUUCUUGACUUAGUGGCGAACGGGUGAGUAACGCGUGAGUAACCUGCCCUGGAGUGGGGGACAACAGUUGGAAACGACUGCUAAUACCGCAUAAGCCCACGGAUCCGCAUGGAUCUGCGGGAAAAGGAUUUAUUCGCUUCAGGAUGGACUCGCGUCCAAUUAGCUAGUUGGUGAGGUAACGGCCCACCAAGGCGACGAUUGGUAGCCGGACUGAGAGGUUGAACGGCCACAUUGGGACUGAGACACGGCCCAGACUCCUACGGGAGGCAGCAGUGGGGGAUAUUGCACAAUGGGGGAAACCCUGAUGCAGCGACGCCGCGUGGAGGAAGAAGGUUUUCGGAUUGUAAACUCCUGUCGUUAGGGACGAUAAUGACGGUACCUAACAAGAAAGCACCGGCUAACUACGUG